rnacentral:tRNA from 1 species
UAUGUAGUGCCUGAUUAAAAGGAUAGCUUUGAUAGAGCUAAUAAUGUGUUUCUUUCCACCUACAUAA